AUUUACUAAAGGUUUAGUAAAUAUGAUUAUACUUAUAAGAUUAAGUGUAAUUCUGAAUUGAUUGAAAAAGUUUAAAUCAAUAGCAGAACGAAUAAGAAGAAUCAAGUAGGCAGAAAGAUAAAAGUUUCUCCAUUCUAAGAAGAAGGGAGAGUACCUUUUAUGCUUUAUGAUAGGUCUUAAUGAUUAAGAACCAUAUCUCAAUUGAUCCUCUAAGUGAGUCUUAGUACAAUUGUAUGUCUAAGAAGAGGAAUCAAGAAUUGAAGAAAUGGUUAAAUCAAGAAGUCAAUCAUACUUCGUUCCAAAACAAGUCUUAGAGUUAAGAUUGUGAAAUUGAGUGAUAAGUAUUAAGAAGGUUUAUAACAUUCAUCAAAUGUGGAAAGUUGUGAUGUCUUGGAUAAGACAAAGACCAACUAGGACCAAUUUAUGAAGUGUUUUGAUAAAAACUACACUAACUCUUGAAUAUUUGUUUGUCAAGAAAUGUUUAUUGACAAGAGAAUCUUAUAUGUCAAGGAGUCAGUGGGAGUCUUAAUGGUCUUGAAAGGUUUCAAGAACAAAUCAAAAUAGACCUUAUCGAUCAUCACUAGCACACGAGUUGAGGUUUACAACCUAUCGUGUUGACACUAUAUUGUUUCUGUGCCAUUCCAAUUGAGUUAAUUAUGCAUGUGAGCUCUAUGAGUUCUCAUUUGAAUGCAUAAAAGGCAAGGACCUUGAUCAAUGAAAAGUACAUUGAUAGGAAAGGGUGAGCUGCUUAACUACUUGGAAGACAUGGUGGGCAGCUGUGUUACCAUAAGGCAAGAAGUCAAGAUUAAGAAAGUUCGGUCCAUAUGAGUUUGAAUUUGUCGUAAACUUUGGUUUUGACAAAUUCACAUGGAUAGGAACACAUACACCAUUAAAAGCUAAGUUUCAUAAGAUUCCCUCCUUCAUGAAAGUGACUGUGAGGAAAUGCUUUCACUUAGAAAGAUUUUAAGAAAAUAGUGAUUGUGAAAUUGAAUUCUCGAAUUCGAUUAUGGUUACGGUAUCCCUUUCCAUGAUUCGAAUUGUGAGAUUUGGCAAUUAGUCUGAAUUGUUUAGACACACAUAUGAGCUAUCUAAGGGAAAGGUGUAUAAGCUUAGAUAAAGGAUUAUCAAAGCAUUAGGUAUUAGAAACAUGAACUUAAGAAAUUCAAUAAGCAUUGUUUUUCAGGAAGUUAAGCUGGUUUCUGAAUACAUGUCAAAGCUAGUGGGAGCAUAAGUGUUAUGUUUAUAAUAAUCAUCAUGAUAGUGGGAGCAUAAAUGUUAUGAUUGUAUGAUUAUUAUGGAAAGAAUUACAAGUUAGCAAUAUUAAUUAUAGAAAACAAGAGUUAUAAAUGUUGAAAAGUUGUUUUCCUAUAAUUAAGGGAGAGAAUAAUAUGCUUCAUUUCGAAUCUAAAGGCUUAGGUUGUGGAAUGUUAAUAAUUUAGUCAAGGAAACAUAGUUUGUUCACAAAUUUCGAUUAUGAUUACGAAAUCCCUCUUCAUAGUUUGAAUUGUGAGAACGUGACACAUAAAAUAUUAUGGCAGAAGAUUGAUAAAGUAUCAUNAUAUUAUGGAAGAAGAUUGAUAAAGUAUCAAAUCUUUAUGUAAGACGUUGUGCAUCGUGUCCUAUACGUUUCGGGUAUAGGAUCGAUUGCAAAUGCUAUAAUAUUUAACCAUUCUAAAAUUUUCCAAAUGUCUAGCGCAUUUAGAGGGAAAAAGGACAAGAAUCGGUUUUUACUAAGAAAAUUAAACAACUAUCAAAGGACAAUCCAAAGUUCGCCGAGGAUUGGUCGCUUGUGGGUAGUUGGAAGUAUAGUAUUGGAUGGACCAUAUCGACAUUAUUAUGAAUAGAUAAGAUUCUAUUAAGAAUGAGUUGUCAUAUGGAAAAUAUGGAAACGUGUCCAUAUUGGGAAUUGAAUAUUGAAAAUCUAUGUCUAGAUUAGAAACUUUUAUGCAAAAGGAUGUUCAAAGGAAUGUACUUUGAGUGAGAGACAUCAUAUCUAAGGAAUUGUAUUGUAACAAUCUCCGAUAGAGGACUUUGUAAUAUCAUUGGCAAUAGUCUUUGUGACUUUGGUGCAGUGACAUUACGAAAGGAUAGUUGCAUAGAAUGUUAGAAUCUAGCAUAUUCUAUAAGUAGCAAGAAUUUGAUAUUCUUUCACUUAUGAAAAAGGAUUUGGAGUUGUGAAAUGAGAAUGAUUGGAAAUGUGUUCAAUUUGAUCUAUUUCACAAAGUAAGAACCAUAGGUAAACAUUGUGUGCAUGCUAAGAGCAUGGGACAAGUGUAAUAAUUCAAGUAAGAAGUUGAUUACCCGAAACGACAAAUAAUGAGUAAUCGAUAUGGUGAUAAAUAAAAGGUGUUUUAUUUAUACUCAAAGGUUUGAGGCCAUAUGGGAUUAGUAUUAUUCUUGUGUUUCACUUUGCAUGUUUUGACUUCCUGAAUAAUUUAAUUGGUUAAGAACAGUCAAAUUAUUCGAACGGGCCACAGUCGUUCAUAUGUUGGAAGUAGGUAUGAAUGAAGACUGUCGUGAAUUGGUGUGUGGAUUGUCUAAAGAGUAUUAGACAUAAGCAAAUGUUUGCUGCAACGUUCAUGAGUGCUUAUGAAUAUGAUUUGAGCAUUGGAUUAAACCCACGCUCACUUGGAUCACUCCAUGAAUUGUAUCACGAGUGAUUGGUGAGACGAUAACAUCUUAUAUUCUUGAAACCGAGAUGUGUGAGUUGUAUCUUGCAAAUCGGUUGCACAUUGAUAAUAUGUAAACGCACCAGUAACUUGGUGUCAUAAAACAUAUUGUUGUGUGUGAUUCGGUGAGUGAGUGCAAGCGAGCAUUGAAUCAAAGUUUAUCCGUUCCUUUUAUCCAAAGUAGGAUAAAAGCGAUAUCUUUGGGCCCCUCGAUGAUUUAGUGAUGACAAACGUAAAUGCUCGGCCGGGCUAGGGCUAAUUUGAUUUGUUCAAUUAGUCAGUCGUCAUAAAUCGGAAGUCGAGAAAUAGUACAGAGAGAAUGAUUAGAAAUCAUGUCUUACGAUAUCUAGAAUGGAGGAAUAUAUGAUCCCUUAUCUAAAGGACACGCGUAUCUGAUAGGAUCAGAGUUGACAGCGGCUUUGGAAAGCUACGAUUGCAGAUCAGGAUCUGAAGUCAUACGCAGAAUAGUUAUUAGACUUAUCCAAGUGGGAGACUGUUGGAUUAGUGUCUAAGUCCAUAACUAUUUUGGUAUGUACUUGACCCGAUGGUGCAUGGUCCUUUUGGGUUGCCUUCACCAAAGCAACUUGAUAGGAUGAAUUAUGGAGAGAAAGGAUUAAAUAUGAUUUAUUAAUAUAUUAUGAGAAUAAUAUAUUAAAGGAGAAAUCAUAUUGUUUAAUUAAUAUUAGUCAAGAAUUAAUAAGAAUUAAGUUUGUGACUAAAAGAGAUUAAUUAAACUUAAGGGACUGGAAUUGUAAUUAUAAGAUAAUUGCAAUUGGGCCAUGGAUUGCCUUAUAUUAUAAGGUUGGACGAAUUAUAUGGGGAAACCCAUUAGAAAUCAUCCAAGGCCUUUAAGGAAAGGAGUUCAUGGGUUGCUUAGGGCUUAAGCAUCCAAAUUAGGGUUUCCUUGUUAGAUAACCCUAAUAGCCUCCCUAUUUAAGGAGCCCUUAUGCCUCAAAAACGUGGAUAAGCUUUCUUCUAGGGUUUCCACAUGUUUUGGGCAACCUCCUUCUCUUCUCCUAUUCAUCCUCUUGCUCUUGGUGUUUGUGAACCAUUAAAGGAGUGACAUUUGUGACUCUAAGCUUUCUAAAGUCAUUACAAGGAGGAUUUGAGAUUGUUAUUGCUACAUAACAAUCAAGGUAUGAUCUAAACCCUAAUUAUAUGUUAUAUUGAAUAUCAUAUGCUAGAUCUAGGGUUUAUAGUCUUUGAUAAAUUGCAUGUACAAUAGAGAAACCUAGAUCCAAGCAUUAGGGUUUAUAUGAGCACGUAGGAUGUUCUUAUGACCAAAACCCAUCAGUUUCUUCGAGAAACCAGAUUUCUGUUGGAUUAGUGUCUAAAUCCAUAACUAUUUUGGUAUGUANNNNNNNNNNNNNNNNNNNNNNNNNNNNNNNNNNNNNNNNNNNNNNNNNNNNNNNNNNNNNNNNNNNNNNNNNNNNNNNNNNNNNNNNNNNNNNNNNNNNCCUCCUAUAUAUAUAGAUCCCUUAUGACCCAAAAACGUGGUGAAGCUUUGCUCUAGGGUUUCACACGUUUUUGGGCAGCCUCCUUCUCUUCUCCUAUUCAUCCUCUUGCUUAUGGUGUUUGUGAACCAUUAGAGGAGUGACAUUUGUGACUCUAAGCUUUCUAAAGUCAAUACAAGGAGGAUUUGGGAUUGUUAUUGCUACAUAACAAUCAAGGUAUGAUCUAAACCCAUUCUUAUGUUAAUAUGAUUACUUGUAUGCUAGAAUUAGGGUUUAUAGUCUUGGAUAACUUGCAUGUACAAUAGAGAAACCUAGAUCCAAGCGUUAGGGUUUGUAUGAGCACAUAGGAUGUUCUUAUGACCAAAACCCAACAGUGGUAUCAGAACCUAGACUGGUUUAAAUUGUAUUGAUGCAAUGUAUGAUUGAAAAAUUCGAUUUUUUGUUUUUGGAGGCUGGACUCGCCGAGUUUUUAGAUGAACUCGCCGAGUUCAUGCUAACUCGACGAGUCCAUACCUGACUCGACGAGUCGGUUGGUCAGAUGGAGGGAAAACCGGGAUUUCUUGCUUCUUUUGAUGAAGGAUAGUUGCCUUAUCAUAUUAGAUCAAUAUAAAUCCGAUUUUAUGAUAUAUUUGACUAUAUUCUUGAUCUAAUUGAAGAUAUUUAUCAAUUAAUAAAAUAUUUGUUUCCUUAUGUGAUAAUUGAUUAAUUAUUUUGAUUAAAUUGGUAAAUUGUUUUGCAAGAAAUCAUUAAAUAAAUCAAAUAUGGAUAAUUAUGUGAUUAAAUGUUAAUUUAGAUUAUUUGUUAUUUGAUCCUUGUGCUUUGAAAAGUUUCAUAUUUUCCCCUUUAGGUUUUAUAGUUUAAAUUUGAACCCAAAAGUUUUGUUGUUUUGAAAUUUAAAUAGUUAAAGCCCUAAUGUUUUGAAAAAUGUUUCAAAACUUGCCCUCGAGUUUUGGAAUUUAAAUUUUGAAUUAAUAGGUUAAUUUUGAUGUAUAUUUAAAUUCUAAACCCAAAUGUUUUGAAAUGUUUCAAAACAUGCCCUCAAGUUUUGGAAUUUAAAAGUUGAUCAAAGGUUUAAUUAAGAAUGUUAAAUUCUAAAACCCUAGUGAUGUUUUGAAAAGUUCAAAUCACACCCCUUAUGGUUUUAUUAAUUAAUUAAGGUGUAUAAUUAAAAGAGGUUUAAUAAAUCCAUAAAAGUUUUGGUUUACAAUUUAAUUGAAUUAAAAGUAUAAUUGUUAAAUUUAACCACCUAGUAUUUUAAAAGUGUAAAAUACACCCUAUACUAUAUAUAUAAAAUUAAAAGUCUAACAUUAUAUAUAUGUAUGAGUAAAAGUCAGUCUUACCGUUAGUAGGCCUCAUUCACGAAGCUGGUCUAUAAGGGGUGUUUAAGGAAAUUGCCUAUAAAAUGGCGAUUGAAUGGGUAUCCACUCUUACCCACCGCACUCUUGACUAGUGGAGGGUCGUUAGCCGAACGGGUAGGAUAGGACAAAACCUUCCAUUAUAAGUAUAAUGAAUUAUAAAAGUAACUAAAUGUUUUCAUAAAAUUCCCAAUCUUAGUUACUUAGGCAAAAGUGAAUUGAUGCAAUUCCAUGAAAUUACACUUUGUGCCCUUGCGAAGACGUUAGUGGAGCGUGUGUGGUUUACCGGCACACUAAAUGGUUCUAAGCAAAGGUAGCAAAGGGUGACUCAAUGUUUGUCAUAGUUCGGUGGAGCGUGUGUGGUUUACCGGCACAUCGAAUAGGUGACUGUAACAUGUGAGGGCACCAUGUAAGUUUGCAUGGUUAUUCACACCCGCUUUGUGAUCCUCGGCAUCCCAGUCACAAACAAGAGGGGCAUAUCGAGAUUUAAACAUGCCAUUGAAAGUUCAAUGAAUCUCAAAGGAUCUAGGAGUUUUCAUAGAUUUAAAACUUAAAUUUCUUUUUCGUUUUUCAUGGUGGAAAUUAGUGAAUCGUCAUUCACUUACCUUCAAAUAUUCUGCAAUUAGGGUUACGGCAUCCCUCUCCCGAGUUGUAGAAUAUUGUGUUGGGUCCUAGCCUUAGUAUCUCAUUUGGGUGAUUUACUAAGGACUCAAUCAAUCAACUAACUUGAAUUCGUUUUCUCCCGUUUUGUAGAUGUCAAAGUUCGACAACUAUGGUCUUCCCAAAUCCCAUGGAACAAGCCUUCCACAUGAAGAUGAUAUUCCAUGAUUCGAUCGAGGAACAAGAAAUCUUGCUUCACUUCCUCCACCUCCUCCAAUUAUUCUCCCUAACCCACAAGUUCGAAGGCUUGAAAAGUUGAAGCUCGCUCAAGCCCUUUUGGCAAGUAAACAUAAAGAAGGAAAGUCGGUGUGUGCACACGUCCUAGGGAUGAAGUCACACAUUGAUAGGUUAAGAAUGUUGGGAUCCGUUGUUUGUGAGGAGAUGGCUGUUGAUUGGGUUCUUCAGUCACUUACUAAAUCAUAUAGUGAGUUCGUAAGAGAGUACUAUAUGAUGAACUGCGACGUGACCCUUAUAGACCUCACUUAUAUGCUUAUUGCUACUGAAUCAGCAAUGGUUUGGCGCAAUAGAAAAGCAAAGUUGAUUGGUGAAUCUGCCUUCAACACAUCUAUGGAUAUAGACAAUGGCAACGAAAGACAUGCUAUGAUCGAAAAGUCUGAUCAUAAGAGAAAGGCAAUGUCUGAAGUAGUUCCAUGUCAUGUUCCAAAGGAUUCAAUUUACUUUUAUUGCCAAGAGAAGGGGCAUUGGAAACGAAGCUGCCCUAUUUACCUAAAAGAUCUAAGAGAUGGGAGAGUCAAAACGUAUGGCUCUGCUUUAGGUAAAAUCCAUUUACUAACUCUUUUAAGCUCCUAUUCUAGAUUCUUAAUACAUAAUGUGAUAAGAUUACAAUUGAUGUUUUGUAGAAUCAAAAAAAAGAGGAAGCUUAAGGGAAGAAGUGAAAAGAAUCUAACCGUGAAGGAAUGGAUUUCAAUCGCAUUACUUGAAGAUUAGAUUUUGAGCUGCUACUUAGAGUUAAAAUUAGAUUGCUAAGAAAUAUGUAGUAGCAUAGUUUUUCAAUGAAUUGCGUUAUAAGGACAAAUUUUUCCGCAAUAAAAUAAAUUUUGAUUUUAUAUUAUUUAUUUAUCCUUACAAUGGUGUGUAUGAAAAAUUGAUGUUUGAAUGUUUCUAAUAUUAGCAAUAAUGGAUUUGAUUCUUAGUUAUGUUGUCGAAAAUUACCAAAUAAGGAGAGUUUCUCAUCGCCCAAGUUUCAGUUGGACAGAAACUUGGAAUCAUGCAACUUGAUUGCACGAUGAAUGAGAAAUUUCAUAUUUGAAAUUAGAUUAACUCAUUGACAAAGUGUCAAGUGAAGGACUAGGAGAUCAAGUACACAAAGUUACGUAUUGAUCAAGUCCACCAUAAGAGUUAAAAAAAAGAUAUUCGUCAUGAUUUACUAAAGGUUUGGUAAAUAUGAUUAUACUCAAGUGUAAUUCUGAAUUGAUUGAAAAUGUUUAAAUCAAUAGCAGAACGAAUAAGAAGAAUCAAGUAGGCAGAAAGAUAAAAGUUUCUCCAUUUUAAGAAGAAGGGAGAGUACCUUUUAUGCUUUAUGGUGGGUCUUAAUGAUUAAGAACCAUGUCUCAAUUGAUCCGCUAAGUGAGUCUUAGUAUAAUUGUAUGUCUAAGAAGAGGAAUCAAGAAUUGAAGAAAUGGUUAAAUCAAGAAGUCAAUCAUACUUCAUUCCAAAAACAAGUCUUAGAGUUAAGAUUGUGAAAUUGAGUGAUAAGUAUUAAGAAGGUUUAUAACAUUCAUCAAAUGUGGAAAGUUGUGAUGUCUUGGAUGAGACAAAGACCAACUAGGACCAAUUUAUGAAGUGUUUGAUACAAACUACACUAACUCUUGAAUAUUUGUUUGUCAAGAAAUGUUUAUUGACAAGAGAAUCUUAUAUGUCAAGGAGUCAGUGGGAGUCUUAAUGGUCUUGAAAGGUUUCAAGAACAAAUCAAAUAAACCUUAUCGAUCAUCACUAGCACACGAGUUGAGGUUUACAACCUAUCGUGUUGACAUUAUUUUGAUUCUGUGCCAAUCCAAUCGAGUUAAUUAUGCAUGUGAGUUCUAUGAGUUCUCAUUUUGAACGCAUAAAAGGCAAAGCACCUUAAUCAAUGAAAGGUACAUUGAUAGGAAAAGGUGAGCUGCUUAACUACUUGGAAGACAUGGUGGGCAGCUGUGCUACCAUAAGGCAAGAAAUCAAGAUUAAGAAAGUUCGAUCCAUAUGAGUUUGAAUUUGUCGUAAACUUUGGUUUUGACAAAUUCACAUGGAUAGGAACACAUACACCGUUUAAAUCUAAGUGUCAUAAGAUUUCCUCCUUCAUGAAAAUGAUUGUGAGGAAAUGCUUUCACUAAGAAAGAUUUUAAGAAGAUAGUGAUUGUAAAAUUGCAUUCUCAAAUUCGAUUAUGGUUAUGGCAUCCCUUUCCAUAAUUUGAAUUGUGAGGUUUGGCAAUUAGUCUUAAUUGUUUAGACACACAUAUGAACUAUCGAAGGCAAAGGUGUAUAAGUUCAAGAAGCAUUGAUAAAGGAUUAUCAAAGCACUAAGUAUUAGAAACAUGAACUUAAGAAAUUCAAUAAGUAUUGUUUUCUGAAAGUUAAGAUGUUUAUGAAUACAUGUCGAAGCUAGUGGGAGCAUAAGUGUUAUGUUUUAUAAUAAUCAUCAUGAUAGUGGGAGCAUAAAUGUUAUGAUUGUAUGAUUAUUAAGGAAAGUAUUGCAAGGUAGCAAUAUUAAUUAUAGAAAACAAGAGUCAUACCUUGCAAAGUUGUAAGGGUUGAAUAGUUGUUUUGCUAUAAUUAAGGGAGAGAAUAUUAUGCUUCAUUUCAAAUUUAAAGGCUUAGAUUGUGUAAUGUUAAUAAAUUUAGUCAAAGGUACAUAGUGUGUUAUCAAAAUUUCGAUUAUGAUUACGGCANCAUUCCUCUUCAUAGUUCGAAUUUUGAGAACGUAGCACAUAAAAUAUUAUGGCAGAAGAUUGAUAAAGUAUCAAAUCUUUAUGUAAGACAUUAUGCAUCGUGUCCCAUACGCUUCAGGUAUAGGAUCGAUUGCAAAUGCUGUGAUAUUUGACCAUUCUAAAUUUUCCAAAUGUCUAGCGCAUUUAGAGGGAAAAGGGACAAGAAUCAGUUUUGACUAAAUAAUUAAACAUCUAUCAAACGACAAUCCAAAGUUCGUCGAGGAUUGGUCGCUCAUGAGUAGUUGGAAGUAUACUAUUGAAAAAUAUAUGGAAACGUUUCCAUAUUGGAUGGACCAUAUUGACAUUAUUAUAAAUAGAAAAGAUUCUAUGAGUUAUCAUAUGGAAAAUAUGGAAACGUGUCCAUAUUCGGAAUUGAAUAUUGAAAAUCUAUGUCUAGAUUAGAAACUUUUAUGCAAAAGGAUGUUCAAAGGAAUGUACUUUGAGUGAGAGACAUCAUAUCUAAGGAAUUGUCUUGUAACAAUCUCCGAUAGAGGACUUUGUAAUUUCAUUGGCAAUAGUCUUUGUGACUUUAGUGCAGUGACAUUACAAAGGGAUCAUUGCAUAAAAUGUUAGAAUCUAGCAUAUUCAAUAAGUGGCAAGAAUUUGAUAUUCAUUCACUUAUGAAAAAGGAUUUGGAGAUGUGAAAUGAGAAUGAUUGGAAAUGUCUUCAUUUGAUCUAUUUCACAAAGUAAGAACCAUAGGUAAACAUUGUGUGCAUGCUAAGAGCAUGGGACAAGUGUAAUAAUUCAAGUAAGAAGUUGAUUACCUGAAACAACAAAUAAUGAGUAAUCGAUAUGGUGAUAAAUAAAAGGUGUUUUAUUUAUACUCAAAGGUUUGAGGCCAUAUGGGAUUAGUAUUAUUCUUGUGUUUCACUUUGCAUGUUUUGACUUCCUGAAUAAUUUAAUUGGUUAUGAACAGUCAAAUUAUUCGAACGGGCCACAGUCAUUCAUACGUUGUAAGUAAGUAUGAAUAAAGACUGUCGUGAAUUGGUGUGUGGAUUGUCUAAAGAGCAUUAGACAUAAGUAAAUGUUUGCUGCAACGGUCAUGAGUGCUUAUGAAUAUGAUUUGAGCAUUGGAUUAAACCCACGCUCACUUGGAUCACUCCAUGAAUUGUAUCACGAAUGAUUGGUGAGACGAUAACAUAUUAUAUUCUUGAAACCGAGAUGUGUGAGUUGUAUAAUGCAAAUCGGUUGCACAUUGAUAAUAUGUAAACGCACUAAAAACUUGGUGUUAUAAAACAUAUUAUUGUGUGUAAUUCGGUGAGUGAGUGCAAGCAAGCAUUGUAUCAAAGUUUAUCCGUUCCUUUUAUCCAAAGUAGGAUAAAAGCGAUAUCUUUGGGCCCCUCGAUGAUUUAGUGAUGACAAACGUAAAUGCUCGGCCGGGCUAGGGCUAAUUUGAUUUGUUCAAUUAGUCAGUCGUCAUAAAUCGGAAAUCGAGAAAUAGUACAAAGAGAAUGAUUUGAAAUCAUGUCUCAUACGAUAUCUAGAAUGGAGGAAUAUAUGAUCCCUUAUCUAAAGGACACGCGUAUCUGAUAGGAUCAGAGUUGACAGCGGCUUUGGAAAGCUACGAUUGCAGAUCAGGAUCUGAAGUCAUAUGCAUAAUAGUUAUUAGACUUAUCCAAGUGGGAGACUGUUGGAUUAGUGUCUAAGUCCAUAACUAUUUUGGUAUGUACUUGACCCGAUGGUGCAUGGUCCUUUUGGGUUGCCUUCACCAAAGCAACUUGAUAGGAUGAAUUAUGGAGAGAAAGGAUUAAAUAUGAUUUAUUAAUAUAUUAUGAGAAUAAUAUAUUAAAGGAGAAAUCAUAUUGUUUAAUUAAUAUUAGUCAAUAAUUAAUUGGUAAUUAGUUUUGUGACUAAAAGAGAUUAAUUAAACUUAAGGGACUGGAAUUGUAAUUAUAAGAUAAUUUCAAUUUGGGCCAUGGAUUGUCUUAUAUUAAGGAGUGGACGAAUUCUAUGGGAAAGCCCAAGAGGAAAUCGUCCAAGCCCUUAAGGAAAGGAAUUUAUGGGUUGCUUAGGGCUUAAGCAUCCAAAUUAGGGUUUCCUUGUUGGAUAACCCUAAUAGCCUCCUAUAUAUAUAGAUCCCUUAUGACCCAAAAACGUGGUGAAGAUUUGUUCUAGGGUUUCACACGUUUUUGGGCAGUCUCCAUCCUCUCUCCUCUUCAUCCUCUUGCUUAUGGUGUUUGGGAACCAUUAGAGGAGUGACAUUUGUGACUCUAAGCUUUCUAAAGUCAAUACAAGGAGAUUUGGGAUUUUUAUUGCUACAUAACAAUCAAGGUAAUAUCUUAAACCCAUUCUUAUGUUAAUAUGAUUACUUGUAUGCUAGAAUUAGGGUUUAUAGUCUUGGAUAACUUGCAUGUACAAUAGAGAAACCUAGAUCCAAGCAUUAGGGUUUGUAUGAGCACAUAGGAUGUUCUUAUGACCAAAACUCAUCAAUUUCACCAUUGUUGUGAGUUUGAGAAAGCUUUGAAGAAUGUAGAAGAAGGUUGAAAGUUUAGAGAGCGUAAACUUUUCUUUGUGGAGAGAAAGGGGCUUUAUAGUGGCUUAAGGGAGCGGGAAACGUUUUUGACCUAAGUGAAUUCUGGUAAAAACAUUUGGGUUUAUCUUUUGAAUUAGCGUCUUUAAUCUCAGCCACAUAUUGAUAAAAGAGGGAUUAGAUCUAAAAUUGGGAUUUACCAAAAAGGUUCUGCAUUUAACGAAAUGUCAGAUUUUGUAUCACGUUUGGUGAACGUGUGGUGGGGGAGAGAUUAAUCCGUUGGAUAAAGGGGAAGUUGUAACAGAUGUGAUGGUUUGGGGUAAUAGGAAAAGACAUAUUAAAAGGAUUUGAUUUGGAAAAUCUUUAUUUUGUCAUCAUACCUAAAAUAGGUCUAACACAAGGUUUAGACAAAAAAGAAUGUGAUAGUUUCUCAAAGGAAUGUUUUUAUUUAAUGUUUUAUUUAAUGAAGGAUCAUUAAAUAGCACACCAUGUUUUUUUUGUUUUUCAAAAGAAUGAACAGUGUGAAAAUCAAUUAAUGUGACUGCGGAUGGACACAUCAUUGCGGAUGGCUCCUCUGCCAUUGCGGAUGACUGCAGCGGGAGAAACUGAGAAAAGCACUUGUACAAGAAGUUAGUAAUAACAAACAAGAAGGGCCAGUGAAAGAUAAAUAUAAUAUAUGGUUGCGGUACAUAGACUGCGGUACACAGGAUAUACCAAAACCAUCUAUUAUAAAUGUCUUUCAGUUAGGACCGCAAUGGAGACCAAGAAUGGUCGGUGGUACCUAUCAAUUCAAGAAGAAUUGAGGGUCUAGAUUCAUCAUCCCUAACAUUUGUAAGAAUGAAUUGAGUUUGGUAGAGUCAAGUGCUUUUGUAAAUACAUCAACAAUCUCUUCAUGAGUAGGGACAAAGUUGAGUUCAAUGUUACCUUUCAUAAUGUGGUCUUUGAAGAAGUUAUACCAUAGUUCAAUAUGUUUCGUCUUGGAGUGCUGAAUAGGAUUAUGAGAAAUUGCUAUGGCACUUUCAGAGUCACAGUAGAUUGGUAUUCGCAGCAUUCUGUAUCCGUAGUCUAGCAGUUGUGUCUUCAUCUAUUGAACUUGAGAACAACAGCUGGCUGCAGCCACAUAUUCGGCUUCUGCAGUAGACAGUGAAACACAAUUUGUUUUCAUGAGGACCAGCUGACGAGUCUACCUCCCAAAAAUUGGCAUUCACCUGAGGUACUUUUUCGAUCAAGUUUGCAUCUGGCAUGAUCCGCAUCGGUAAAUCCUUGAAGACUGAAAUCAUUGCCUGCAGGGUACCAUAGACCAAGAGAUUUGCUUCAUUUCAGGUACCGGAGAAUUUGUUUGGCUGCGGUCAUAUGUGACACUUUUGGUUCAGUCUAAUACCUUGCACAUACACCAGUUGCAAAGAUAAUGUCCGGUUGGCUUGCGGCGAGGUACAUUAGAGAGCCAAUGAUACAUCUAUAAGUCUUGUGAUCCACAGAUUCGCCAGAGGGAUCAGCAGAGAUCUUAUAAUCGAAGGCCAUAGGGACCUUAGCCGAGGAACAGUUGUCCAUAGAGUAUUUCUUCAAUAAUUCAGUGGUAUAUUUCUCUUGAUGAAUGAAUAUCCCUUGCUGAAUUUGUUUGACUUGAAGACCUAGAAAGAAAUUAAUCUCUCUAUUCAUGCCCAUUUGGAAUUUGUUUGUCAUGAGCUUAGCAAAUUCAUCCACCAUUCCUUGAUCAGUCGAUCCGAAGAGGAUAUCAUCCACGUAUAUCUGUACAAGCAUAAGGUGGUCACCAUUUGCUUUUCUAAAUAACAUGGGAUCAAUCACUCCUCUUUUGUAUCCUGAAGAGACUAGAAAUUCAGAAAGAGUCUCAUACCAAGCUCUUGGGGCUUGCUUCAGACUGUAGAUUUCCUUUUGAAUCUUUUAGCAGUGGUCGGGGAAUUCAAUACUUUCAAAGCCGGGAGGUUGCUGAAGAUAAACCUCUUCUUUCAAUUCCCCAUUGAGAUAAGCACUCUUAACGUCCAUUUGGUGUACCUUGAUGUUUUUGUGGUCAGCAUAUGCUAAAAAGAUUUGAAUGGCUUCCAUUCGUGCCACCGGAGCAUAUGUUUCAUCGUAGUCAACACCUUCAAGUUGACUAUACCCUUUUGCCACUAGUCUUGCAUUAUUUCUAAUAACCGCACCAGAUUCAUCUAACUUGUUCUUGAACAUCCAUCUUGUUCCUACAAUAGUAUAACCUUGCGGUAUGGGAACGAGUUGCCACACCUUGUUCCAUUUGAAUUCUUCCAGUUCUUCUUGCAUUGCAGAAAUCCAAUCAGUUUCCAAUAAUGCUUCUUUGAUCGAUCGUGGCUCGACUGCGGACAUAAAUGUUGCGUACUGACAAUGAUCAAAUAAGUCCUUGGCAGAUCGAGUCUGGAUACCUACGGAUGGGUUGCCAAUAAUUUGACCUGGUGGGUGGUCCUUCGUCCAUACAUGUAGACGAGGCAUCAGAUGAUCAGCAGCUACGGUAGAGGGGAUGUCUUCAAUGUCAGAAGUUUCUUCGGUUGGAGAUGGUAGUUCCCCCCGGAUUUGAGAACAUCCUGCGGAAUCAUCUUGUCUUGUUGGAGCGAGAAUGGAAUUUUCUUGAGCAGUUUGGAGAGGUUACCUCUGGAUUGCUAAUGGGAGUUCCUUUGGAACCUGAGAAGGUUCCCCCUGACUGCUGAUGGGAUUGUGAUGAUUCUUGAAUCAGUACUAGUGUCAAUGUUCUCUAUGAUUUCAUCAUCCGAAUCUGAAGAUACAUUUGAUGGUAAUGAUUUUCUGCAGAUAGGAACUUGGGCAUCAUCAAGUAUUGGAAUCUCGAUGGUUGUUGCUUGAUCCAGAGUAGAGCUUUCCCCUUAACCGGAGAGGUGAAAGUAUUGAGAGAUGCUACUUCGGAUAGAGAUGGACCAGAAACAUCAGCAUGUUGUUGUUGGGCGGCUGGUGACACAAGAACUUCGGAUAGUUUCGCUAUUUCAACAGGGUUGAAAAGGUCGUCAUAAUUGACUUCAACAAGAUUUAAAGGACCUAAAGAAGAAGGAAUAUAACUUUCCAAGAUUGCGGUGGUUUCAGUGGAUGGAGGGGCGUUGCGGAUGUGAGAAUCAUCAAAUUUCACAUCGAAGCUUUCAAUGAUUAGCCUUGUACGUAUGAUGAGAACCCGGUAAGCAACCUUGUUCGUGGAUUAGCCAAGAAAGAUGCCUUCAUCCAACUUUGGUGCAAAUUUGCUAAGUUGGUCUCUGUUUUUGAUCACAAAACAUCUACACCCAAAGAUAUGAAAGAAGUGAACAUUUGGUUUGCGGUUGUUAAGGCCCUCAUAUGGUGUUUUAUUGAGGCGCUUGCACACAAUGCUUUGGUUUUGAACAAAGCAUUCAGUUGCUACAGCUUCGGCCCAGAAGUAAAGAGGAAGAUGUGCGAAAUUGAGCAUGGAUUUGGCUACUUCGACUAGUGUACGGUUCCUUCUUUCUACUACUCCAUUUUGUUGUGGUGUAUAAGGAGCUAAGAAGUUGUGAGUGAUACCUUUAGACACCAAAAAGCUGUUGAGAGGAUGAUUAGUGAACUCGGUUCCAUUAUCACUAUGGAUGCGUCUUACUGGCAGCUUGAUCUGAAGUUCUAUUUCUUUGAUGAAGUUGAUGAGAAUUUGCGGUGUUUCGGAUUUGAGUCUGAGGAAGAAAACCCAUGUGAAGCGAGUGAAGUCAUCUACUAUAACCAGUAUAUACUUUUUGAGAUGGAUACUGGCUACGGUUGAUGGACCGCAGAGAUCAAUGUGCAGAAGCUCAAGUGGUUCUGAUAUUGAAGAGUCAAUCACCAUGGAGUGACUUGCUUUAGACUGCUUACCACAUUCACAAGCAGGACAGAUAGUGUCAUUGCCGAACUUGAGAAUAGGGAGUCCUCUGACCGGCUCUCCAGUGACCAAAGUGUUGAUGUAUCUGAAGCAGAGAUGAGCGAGCUUGCGGUACCAUAGCCAGCUGACUUCGGAUACAACUUUGGAAAAGAAACACAGUUGUGGUUUUCCAAUGAUAAGAGAGACAUCCAGAGGAUACAUGGUACCCUCGGAUCGUGACUUGAUCAAGCAGGUGCUCCUAUCACUUGUCAUUACAUAACAUAAUUGAUCAUCGAAUUCAACUCGAUGGCCUACCUUACAUAGUUGGCCAACACUGAUGAGAUUGUGUUUAAGGCUUUCUACAUAAGCAACCUUUUGAAUUGAGAAGUUCCCCAUAGUGAGUACACCGUAACCUCGGAUGAUUCCAUUCGCAUUUUUGCCGAAUGUAACAUUUCCACCAUUACAAAUUGGCCUGAAAUCCCGAAGGUAUUUUAACCUUCCGGUCAUGUGCAACGAGCAGGCACUGUCAAUUAACCAUUCAUCUUCUUCUUCCUCCUUGCACAAAGCUUGAGAAUUACACGGUUAGUUUAGGCAUCCAAACUAGUUUGGAUCUUGGAACAACAGGUGAGUUUCUGAGUGAUGCAUGGACCGAGGUUGCAGGGACUAGUUUCGUGUCAACUAAACCUAUUCCUAGGUGUUUAUGUAAUUUUGGAGUGUUGUGUGUUUUUGUAAAGUUACGAGGUUUCUGAUUUUGCAACUACACUGACACUCACAGCUUGAGAUUUUGUCUUUUGUUCUGACACCAUGUUUGGUCAGCGGUCUAAAGGAAGACUUGUUUGGCUUUUGACUAGUCUGAGGUUGAAAAGAUCUGACAUGAGUGUUGUUAGUUUUCUGAUAAGUUUGUUUUGAAAAAGGUUUAGCACGUGUAGAUCUUUGUGCCCUUUUUGUUGGAUUUGGUAAAAUACCCUUCCACUUGUUAAAAUUUUGAUGUGACUUUAAAUGUGUUGCAGUGGGUAAAAUACCUUUCCAUUUCGGAUCAUCUGAGGAAUAGAUUUGAAAAACACUAUUUCGAAAAGACUGUGCACUCUUUUGAAUUGUGUCAGAUGAAUUAGGAAUGACUGUUGAAACUAUACAUUCUUUUUGGAUGUUUUCUUCGUGGUAGGGUUUUUUGAAAGAUAGUGAGAGAAAACUAUUUUUUCUGGACUUUUGUAUUUUUUAAAUCUGACAUGCUUUUUGUUUUUUGAAAACAUUUGUUUAUUUGUGCCUCGGGAGCGAAUUUCUUCUUUGAAAGCCUUUUUAGCUAAGGAUUUUGGUGAACCGCAGUCUCUGUUAUUCAACUGUGGUUUCCUAGAACCUUUUGAAAUUUUAUGAAAACAUGGGCUUGAGUCAUCAGAACAUGAGGAUUCAAGGAUUUGAGAACAUUGACCCACUUCAAAGUGUUCUAUGGGUAAUUCAUGAUGAAUUAUUUGAAGAGUGGCAGAACUUUUGUUCGAAGACUGCGGUAGGGAUGACUUGACUACUGCAGAGUAAGUCUUAAUUGGGACUUCAGUGGGACUUUGGUGGGACUUUUGGCUGUAGUGAGGGACAGUACGGUCUGAGGACAGGGAUGGAAAGUCUUUCGAGACUUCAGUGUCCUCAAUGGCAAUUUCUUCUUCGACUACGGAUAAGUUUUGAGAAUUUGGGAAGGUAGUGCCAUAGAUGGGAAUUUGAUCACAUGUGUGACCGGAAACCUCAGGCACAAUUUCCUCAAUGACGCAAUUGUUUCUUAGAUUAUGUAGUCUACCGAAGUGAGUUAUGAUAUCUUCAGGAAAAGUCUUUUCAUUGACUGGGAAAUGAAAUUCUCGGUCUGGAGGGACAUACAGUCUGUCUUUGUUGAACCGGGGUGAGGAAUCCAUUGCGGUAGGAUAUCCAUUUGACCAACUCCAAUUGUAUGUGUUGUCCACGGUUCCAUUAUUUACCAAAUUUUCAAUAGCUUCACUUUCAUUGAACAAAUUUUCGAUUAAAAUAUUUAAACGUACAAUUUCACUUUGAGCUAAAUCUCUCUGGUUCAAAGCUAUCUCUAAUUGGGUUUCACUCAACAUUCUUGCAUCGUUUUCUAACUCUAAAUCUCUUUCUAACAUAGCCAUUUUGAGGCUUUUGUUAUCCAUUCGUCCUCUCACAUGGAACAUCUCCUAGGACGCACUGUUCUUAUCAUCUAAGGCUUUGUUUUAGUCUGUAGGGACGGCAACACAUGUGUCAUUAAGAUUAUCUAUGUAAGGUUGACAAUCACGCAUGCUAUAUUUUAGAGUUUGGAUCAUGAGUUUUACCUGUUCGACGAUGCUUUGAGUUCCACCCUUUACCGUGUAGCAGUAGUUUUUGUCCAUCUUUGUAUACCCAUCAUCAUCCACAGUUGCCAACAUGCAGAUCUUCCCUUUUCCAUUGACACUGCUGAUGGCUUCUUCUUCGUCUCCGGAUGACCAGACUUGUUGGUCUCUUUUGACAUGGGCUACAUAUGCCCUUUCUUUCUCCUUUUCUUCCAAAUAUUGAGCCAUUUUAAGGUAGAAUACUCUGUCUUUAACUACAUUGGCCUUAAAAUCUCUUGCAAAGUGAUUCUCUUUGUUGCAUUUGUGACAAACUACAACAUCAGUCUUGUCUUCUGAGGGAGUACCAGAGCCAGUGGUUUGAGUAGGCUGCGGUGCUUCCAUUGGUUAAGUAUUGUGAGGUUGCGGUGGUGGAUGAGAACUUUUAGGAUAAUGUGAGUGAUUUUCUUGUGGGUUGAAGUUACGAUUGAAGGGUGGUUUGUUGAAUUGUUGAGUUUUGCGAAAAGAGUGAGGUGGUAGUCGGUUGAAUUGUUUGUUAGCUUGAGUAAUUGCCUUUUGAAAUUCUUCUUCAUCAUCAUACUCUAAAUCAGCUUCGUAUGACUGAGGUGAAGUGUCAUACGAGGGAGCAUAAGAUUGAUUAUGUGGAGUUUGUUCUAUGAGAGCAAGAGGUCCUCCGAAGUCAGCACAAUCUUUGAGUAUGGUGGAUUCCUGUACUUGCAGUUCCCAAUAGAGUUUGUAGAGUGACAAGGAAUGAAUCUUUCUAUCGCCUUGGACUAUCAUUUUAGCCGUAUUCCAAUGUCUUCCCAAGUCAUUAAGAAACUGAAGAUUUGUUUCAUGGUUACUGCGGAUGGUGCCUGCGUUGGAUAACUUGGUGACAAUCAGGUUGAACCUUUUGAAGGAGUCUUCCAAACUUUCGCCAAUAUGAGCUUUGAAGUUGUUGAACUCAUUGAGUGUAGUUGUAAGCUUCUUGUCUUGAGCUUGUUCUGAGCCUUCAUAAAGAUUCUUUAGAACAUCCCAGAUCUCUUUUGUUGAUUUGCAAUUUAUGAUAAUAUCGAAGUUUUCAGGAGCAACUCCACAGGAGAUUUCAUAAAAAGCAACAACAUCAUUUUCCAUUUUAUCGAGACCAUCCCUGGUGGAACGGCUCAUAGCUUGUUAACCUCCUCCUAGUCUUGUUGUAGCUCUGUCUGUUUGGAUUGGUGUAAGUACUGGGACAUGUGGUCCUUCUUCUACAGAUCACAAUACAUCUCUACCAAGUCAACUUAAGUAUCUUUCCAUUCUUUAUGACCAGUGAUGAUAUUCAUUUGAAACCAGUAUUGGGGCUCGAUUAGAACCACCAACACUGUUGGAAACAUUCAGAGAUAACGAUUGUGCCAUAUUUUGAAGUUUUUUUGUUUUAGAAAUGAGCUUAAGUGGUAUAGAAGGCUCUUCGAAAAAUCAGAGUUUUGAUUUUCAAAAAGCAACCACUAUGGUUCUGAUACCAAUUGUUGAGAGAAAAACUUUGGGACACACUUGAACAAAUGUUAGAACAAGUAUAUUGCGGAAUAGUUAAUCUCAAGGAUCUAAAAGCUCAACAAUAAUAUUUAGAGUUAGAUGUUAGAGACUUAGUUGCAGAAAAGUAAAGAAAUAGAAAUGACAACAAUUGUUAUAUCAAGUAUACACUUAAGCUGAUUCAUAACGAGGAAUGCAUUCAAGCCAAGUUAAUAAGUGAGAUCAAACUUAGUGAUUAAGUCACAAAAGACUUGCUUCGAAGAGAGAUUGUAAUCGAUUAUGGAAGUAAGAAGUGUGAGUAAGAGAAAUAGAAAAGAUAACUUCAGACAUGUGUAUUCAGAAUUAGAUGCGAUACUUGUUUACAAGAGAAUGAGUUCUAUUUAUAGAGACUCACAAAGUACACUAGACUAUGUCUCUAAGAGUAGCCAUUCAAGGCAUACUGGACAAUAGAGAGUUUUAAAGUAAUCUAGUAAAAAGACUACGGUAGGCAAGGACUGCGGUUGGCGACUGCGGUAGCUGAAGUUCAAGAGGGCCACUUUUUAUAAUUCAACAGGAACCCUUGUAACAUAUACUAAAACUUGGUUAAGAUUAAUCCUUCUAAAGAAUCUUCCAUCAAAACCUCAUUAUUGAUGCUUAUUGUCUCUAAAUUGACUAGCCCGGAUCUGCGGGCGUUACAGUUAUUCACACCUUGUUUGUGAUCCUUGGCAUCCCAGUCACAAACUUGAGAGGGCACAAUCGAGAUUUAAAAUGCCAUUGAAAAGUUCAAUGAAUCUCAAAAGAUCUAGGAUGUGACAUCCCCAAAUUUCUCGGCCAGAAAAGACCGAUUUAAUUUAUGCUUUUUAAAAUCAAAUCAGAUAAAUCUUUAUAAAAGAUGUUGCGGAAUUGGUCCCUAAAACAAAAUAUGAUAAAAGUUUGUCAAAACCUUUCUUUAAGAAAUAUAACAUUUCUUUUUAUAUCAAAACCUCGGGAUGUCAUGUUUCGAUACAGAUCAAAAGCAUAAACAAGACAUUAUAAGCCUUACGACAGUUAUUUGUAACUAUUGGUCUAUAAUCCAAAAUUCACUCAUCAUCAUCAUCCGACUAUGCUCGGGGUCCUCUACCUGUAAUAUAAACAGCUGAGUGGGUCAGGCUUGGAAGCCUGGUGAGCAUAUAGGGUUUUCAACCCACAAUACAUAAAUUUAUUAUGUUUAAACAUCAAUCAAUCAACCUAAUUACCCCAAACCCCAUUAUUUUAUUUAUUUCUUAAGGGUUUACCCUAAGAAUCAACUAUCACUCCUUCCUAAGGAUUCAUCCUAAGGAAUAGACACAAAGUCACCUCGUGACCGGGGUUUAUACAAUGGGCACUAAUUCCAUAGCUGCCAAAGUUUAUUCAACAUGUGCUAAGUCCAUANAUAGACACAAAGUCACCUUGUGACCGGGGUUUAUACAAUGGGCACUAAUUCCAUAGCUGCCAAAGUUUACUCAACAUGUGCUAAGUCCAUAACUCUCAUUUAUCGACAGUAUUAUUUACAGGUGUUCUCUACUGCAAUACAUGUCAAUGGGUUUUAGAGUACAACAAAUGAACAUAUAGUUCAUUACACCUACAGGUUGCGAGCCUGCUAGUGCUCCAUAGACUGUCUAGAAUAGUCCAUGGUUGUCAUCCAUACUCUGCUGAAUGACAGGGGCCAACAAUUUGGGUAAGUGAUUCUCUCAAAUGUUCACCACUCACCCUCAACUCAUGAUCAAUAUUAUUGAUCAUCUCCUUUAUCCAACUCACCUUUCAUCAUACCCACUAUUUCAUCUACCCAAGUUUUACCCAACAUUUUUCGUAGAUAAAAAAGCAUAUACAGUUUAAAACUUGUAUAAAACAUCAAUUCAAUACUCACCUCAAUUAAACAAUUAGUAUAUUUACACAUAAAACGUAUUUCAAGGUAAAUACUUCAUAUCUAUGUGUAAAUUGAACGUAACUACACACUCACAUGAUUUAAUGAAAAUCGGGCAGCAAUUCGUUUUCUAAAACGAUCGUUUCUAAUAAAACCGGGAGUUUUAUUGAGAAACCGGGCUCUGCGAAAGGUCGGGCCUCGAAACCGAAAAGAUAAAUUUUCCGGGCUUCACGGGCACUUCGUGGCGUAUUCCGGGGCUUAUAAUCGAUACCGGGGCUUCGGGGGAUGAUAAUAUGAAAGCAACACGGAUAAAGGGGCUAAAAAUGACAAGUUUUCAAAAUACCCCCGGGAGGUCUCGCACCCUUCUAUUUAUAGGGUGGAGCUUCUGAUCGGACGGCUGAGAAGGAACUACACGUCGCAGAUCCGAGGGCUCGCAGGCGAAGGCUCGCACAUGGUUUGCACAUGGUCUACGCAUGCGAGGGCUCGCUGGCAGUCUGUGAUUGGUCCGAGGUGUGUGUCCGAUGUGCAGGUGGUCAGCAGGUGCGAGGGUCUCGGUGGCACUCGCUGAUUGGACCGCGGAGUCAUCUUACAUGUGCGAGGCUCGGAGCUAGGUGCGAGCUUCGGAUUGGUCAGCAACUUCGAUUUGGACAGAUGCUCGGUUCGGAUUGGGUCUCCUUCUUGGACGAAUCAGAAGCCUACACGCAGGUCGGAUCACGUGGGUUGCAUGCGAGGAUCACGUGGCUACUGUUCAUGCGAGGGUGACUCAGCAGACUUCGGUGACUCAGCAGGACACGUGGCAAUUUUUCAGCAAGGGUGACGUGGCAACUCGUGACUAUGCGGAUUUUCUCGAUUUUCGCGCCAAAACUUCUAAAAUCCAUAACUUUCGCAUACGAGCUCCGUUUUUGACGUUCUUUAUAUGCACGCGUAGCUAAAAUUACGCUCUACAACUUCCAUUUAGACUUCAUCGGCUAAUUUUGACUUUAAAUUUUAUAUUAUUAUUUUUAACAGACCGGGACAGGAAAUCCGUUAAAAAUUCAUAACUUCUUCAUCCGACGUCCGUUUUCGUCAGACUUUUUACCGUUGUGCUCCUAAUGACGAGACCUUCAAUUCUCGUUUAGGUUGUGUCGGCUAAAAAUCGCUCAAUCUAAAAUUUGAGUUUUUAGCUGUCUACUGCUAAGCUGAAACUUCGAAAAAUCAUAACUUCUUCAUACGAAGUCAGAUUUGGGCGUUCUUUUUAUCGAACUUCUCGGUUUGACGAAUACUACGAAUUUCUUUUAGAUUACUAAGGCUAAUAAGUAGUUUAUCAAAAACUCACUUUUUACGACACUCGGCACCGUGCCGGUUUUGUCGCGAAACUUCGACAGGUGAUAACUUCUUCGUUAUAACUCGGAUUUCGGCAUUCUUUAUAUCCCUGAAAUCCUUGUUUCGACCACUACAACUUUAUGUAAAGAUAUCGGGCUUACCUCACACUUUAAUUUUGACGUUUAUUUUUAUUUUUAAUUAAUUAAACCCUAAUAAUUAAGCAUAAAACACAUAAUUCACAUAAUUCCUUUUCAUUUCUUCUAAAUGAGUUACAAUGGUUACCCUACACCAUUAUGUCAAUAUUAAUGCAUAGCCUAGAAACACGGGCGUUACAUAGGAGUUUCAAACCAAUUAAAACCUAACUCCUAUUUCGUUUUUCAUGGUGGAAAUUGGUGAAUCGUCAUUCGCCUACCUUCAAAUAUUUUAUAGCUUGGAUUACGGCAUCCCUCUUUCAAUUUAUAAAAUAUUGUGUUGGGUCCUAGCGCUAAUAUUUCAUAUUGGGUGUUAUAUUAAGGACUUGUGUCAACUAACUUGAAUUUCUCCCAUUGUAGAUGCCUGGUUCAGACAAUUAUGAUCUUCCCAAAACUCUUGGAACACGAUUUCCUAAUGAAGAUGAUGUUCCUAAUGAAGAUGAUUUCCUAAUGAACUUUUCAUGUCCUCCACCUCCUCUAAUUAUUCUCCCUGACCCACAAGCUCGAAGACAUGAAAAUUUCAAGAUCACUCAAUCCCUACUUGCAAUGAAACAUAAAGAUGGAAGACUUGUGUGCACUCAUGUCUUAGAGAUGAAGUCACAUAUUGACAGGUUGAGAAUUUUGGGUGUCGUCAUCCCAAGGAAAUUGGCUAUUGAUUAGGUUCUUCAGUCACUUCCUGAGUCGUUUAGUGAGUUCAUUAACGACUACUAUGUGACAGAUCACGAUAUGACCCUCGUUGAUCUUUCUUAUUUGCUUGUUGCUGCUGAAUCAGAAAUGUUUUGGCGCACUGGAAAAGUAAAUUUGGGUGGAAGGUCUAUUUCUCAAACUUCCAUGGACAUUGACAAUGGUAACAUUGGAAAUCCAGAAAAGCUUUCUCUUCCUAAUGGAAAGGGAUCGGCCUUGAUCAACUCGGUUUACCAAAAGGUAAAGGGAAAGGCUAAGUCUAGGAUAGUCUCGUGUACCAUUCCCAAAGAGUCUAUAUGUUUUUAUUGUCAAGAGAAAGGGCAUUGGUUGUGAAGCUGCCCUAAUUACCUGAAAGAUUUGAGAGAAGGAAGAAUCAAAAAGUUUGAUUCUACUUUAGGCAAGUCCACUAUCUAACUUUGUUAAGUUCCUAAUUGUUGAUUCUUAAUACAUGAUGUGACUAGGUUGCAUUUUGAUGUCUUGCAGGAUCAAGUAAAAGGAAGGAAGCCUAAAAUAAGAGCAUGAUGAAUCUGAUCGCGAAGAUGAUCACAUGGUUCGAAGAUCAGAUUCUUGAGCUACUACUUUGGGGUUAUGAUAGAUUGAUAGGAAACAUGUGAUAGCAAACUUUCAUUUAAAGUUGCAUUGUAAGGAAAAGUUUUUUUUUUUGAAUUUCAUAAAUAAAUAAAAUUUUGUUUUUGUUUCAUUUUAUAUCUCCUUGCAAUGACAUUUACGGAAAAUUGAUGUUUGUAUGUUUCUAGCAAUAAUGGAAAUACGAAUUUAAUUCUUUCAUUUGUGGUGGUAUCUAAAUUUACCAAAUAAGGAAAGAUUCUCAUCACCCAAGUUUCAAUUGGACAGAAACUUGGAAUCAUGCAAGUUGUAUUGUAUGAUGAAUGAGAAUUUUCAUCUUUGGAAAAUUUAGACUAAUUCAUUGUUCACAUGUAUAUGUGAGUCAAGUGAAGGACUAAGGGAUCGAGUACACAUUCUUGAGCACUAGUCAAGUCCACCACAAAGAUCUAUAAGACUAUUCGUCAUGAUUUACUAAAGUAUAGUAAAUAUGGUUACACUUACAAGUUUAAAUAUAAUUCUGAAAAAUUGGAAAAGUUUCAAUGUAUGGCAGAACGAAUGAGAAGAAUAAAAUUAGGCAGAAAGACAAAAGUUUCUCAAAUCUAAAAAAUGGGAGAGUACUUUAGUAUCAUGUUUUGUGAUCAUCUUAAUGUUUUGUGAUCAUCUUAACAACUAUGGUUAUACUUACAAGUUUAACAUGAGUAACAUACCUUAAAGAAGGUUUAUAACACUUGUCAAAUGUAGAGUAAAAGGUUUUCUACUCUUGUACAUUUGAAAGUGGUAUGUUGUGAUGUUUUGGAUAAAACAAAGACCAACUAAGGCCAAUUGUGUGAAGUGUUUGUCUUGAUAAAGAAUCCGCACUAUCUCUUGAAUAUUUAUCUGUCAAGGAAUUGUUCUUGGAAAGAGAGUCUUAUAUGUUAAGAGGAUAGUGGGAGUAUUAAAGAUCCUAAAAGAGUUUCAAGAACUAAUCAAGAAUAAAACAUAUAGUUUAUCACUAGCACAUGACUUGAGGUUUAUAACCUAUCGUGUUGACAUAUUCUAGUUUUUGUGCCCAUUCCACUUAAAGUUGGCUUUGCGUAUGGGUUCUAAGAGUUCUCAAUUGGUUGCAUAACAACCUGGAAUCAAUGGUAGGCCCUUGUACUGCUAGGUGGCAAGAAAUUAAGAAUAAACAAGUUCCGUCCAUAUGAGUUUGUAUUUGUCACUAACCUUGUCUUGUGAUUACGGUUUUAACAAAUUUACAUGGAUAGGAACACAUACACCAUAGAAAUCUAAAUUUCAUAAGGUUUCUCUUCGAUUCAUGAAAAUGAUGGUGAGGAAACGCUUUCCCUGAGUAGAUUUUAAGUAGAUAGCAAUUGUGAUAUUUGCAUUCUCAAAGUCAUUAGUGGAGCGUGUGUGGUUAACCGACACACUAACAUGGACUUGUGAGAAAUGGCAAAGGUCUAAACAAAUGAGACUAUGAUGAUGGAAUCCCUUUUCAAAGUUCUAAAAUUGUUUAGACUCACAUAUGAGCUAUCUAAGGAAAGGUGUAUGAUUUUGAUAAAGUUUUAUAAAAGCAUCUCGUAUCAGAAAUCUGAACUUUGGUAAGAAAAUCAAUGAAGUAUUGAUUUCUAGAAGUCCAAUUGAUUUCUGAGUACAUGUCAAAGCUAAUGGGAGCAUAAGUGUUAUGCUAAUAAUCAUCAUGUUAGUGGGAGCAUGAUAAUUAUGAUAAGUGUUGCAAGUUAGCAAUGUUAAUUAUAGAAAACAAAAGUUUCAAUUAGGAAAAGUUGUUUUGCUAUANUAUAUAUAUAUAUAUAUUUAUGAAUUUUAUGUUGGAAUAGCACAACAUAAGGAAAUUCCAUAUAUAUUGCGUUCUCAAAUUCGAUUAUGAUUACGACAUCCCUCUUCAUAGUCGAAUUAUGAAAACAUGGAAAAAUAAAAAAUAUUGUAGCAAAAGACUGAUCUAGAAUCAUGACUUUAUGUGAGACAUCAUGAAUCGCGUCCCAUAUGCUUCGGGUAUAGGACCGAUUCCAUGUGCUAUAAUAUUUAUCCUUUCUAAAUUCUCCAAAUGCGUAGGGCAUUAAGAGGGGAAAAGGUCUAGAAUUGGAUAUGACUAAAAUGAUUAAGCAAUUGCUGAGGACAAUAUGAGGUUUUACCAAAGAUUGGUUGCUCAUGGACAAUUGGAAGUUGUUUGAUUAGUGUCUAAGUCCAUAACUAUUUUGGUACGUACUUGACCCGAUGGUGCAUGGUCCUUUUGGGUUGCCUUCACCAAAGCAACUUGAUAGUAUGAAUUAUGGAGAGAAAGGAUUAAUUAUGAUUUAUUAAUAUAUUAUGAGAAUAAUAUAUUAAAGGAGAAAUCAUAUUGUUUAAUUAAUAUUAGUCAAGAAUUAAUAAGAAUUAAGUUUGUGGCUAAAAGACAUUAAUUAAACUUAAGGGACUAGAACUGUCAAUUGUAUGAAGUAACCCCUUAGGGUUUUGGAUGGUUUUGGGCAGCUUCCUCUCUCCUUAUUCUUCAUCCUCUUCCUCUUGGUGUUUGUGAGCCAUUAGAGGAGUGACAAUUGUGACUCUAAGCUUUCUAAAGUCAUUACAAGGAGGAAUUGAGAUUGUUAUUGCUACAUAACAAUCAAAGGUAAUUCUUUAAACCCUAAUUUCAGUUUAUAAUAUGUUAGAUCUAAGAUUGUAAGUCUUUGAUACAUUGCACGUACAAUAGAUAAUCCUAGAUCCAAGCAUUAAGGUUUGUAUGAGCACAUAGGAUUAUUCUUAUGUCUAAAACCCAUCAGUGGUGUCAGAGCCUAGAUUGGUUUCUUUUGUAUGUGAUGCUAUGUUGAAUUAUUUACUGAAAAUCGAAUUUUGGCCUUCUGUUCGAACUGANUUCUUAUGUCUAAAACCCAUCAGUGGUAUCAAAGCCAGGUUGGUUUCUGUUGUAUGUGAUGCUAUGUUGAAUUAUUAACUGAAAAUCGCAUUCUGGCCUUCUGUUCGGACUGAAUCGGCGAGUCACUACAUGGACUCGGCGAGUCUGCCCUACUCGGCGAGUCGGAGCGUCAGACAGAGGAAAUUUCGGAUUUACUAGUUGUUUUGCUUAAGGAUAAUUACAAUAUUCAUUUUAAACUGAUAAAAUACGAUUUUUAAUGUUUCUAAAAGAUUAUCCUUGCCAAAACACAAGAUAAUUACCAAUUGAUUAGAUAAUAGCUUCCUUAUAUGAUUAAAGAUUGAUUAUUUGUAUUAAUUGGGUAAUUUAUCUUGCAAGAAAUUGAAAUUAGGUCAAAUAUAGAUAAUGAAAAAAUUAAUUGUUUAAUUUCUAUUAUUUGUUAUUUGACCCUUGUGUUGUAAAACAAAAUUCAGAAUGUGCCCAUUUAAGUUUUAUGGCUUAAAUUUGAACAUAAAGGUUUUGUUUUGAAAUUUAAAUAGUUAAAACCUUAAUGUUUUGAAAUGUUUCAAAACUUGCCCUCAAGUUUUGGAAUUUAAAAGUUGAUUAAAAGUUUAAUUUAAAGAUGUUAAAUUCUAAAACCCUAGUAUAGUUUUGAAAAGUUCAAAUCACACCCUUAUGGUUUUAUUGAUUAAUUAAAGUGUAUAAUUAAAAGAUAUUUAGUAAAUCCAUAAAGUUUUGGUUUACAAUUUAAUUAAAUUAAAAGUAUAAUUAUUAAAUUAUAACACCAAGUAUUUUUAAAGUGUAAAAUNNNNNNNNNNNNNNNNNNNNNNNNNNNNNNNNNNNNNNNNNNNNNNNNNNUAUAUAUAACAUUAAAAGUCUAACAUUAUAUAUAUAUAUAUAUGUAUGAGUAAAAGUUAGUCUUACCGUUAGUAGGCCUCAUUCACGAAGCUGGUCUAUAAGGGGUGUUUAAGGAAAUUGCCUAUAAAAUGGCAAUUGAAUGGGUAUCCACUCUUACCCACCGCACUCUUGACUAGUGGGGGGUCGUUAGCCGAACAGGUAGGAUAGGACAGAAACCUUCCAUUAUAAGUAUAAUGAAAUACAAAAGUAGCUAAAUGCUUUUAUAAACUUCCUAAUCUUAUUUACUUUAGGCAAAAGGGAAUUGAUGCAAUCCCAUGAAAUUAGACUUUGUGCCCUUGCGAAGACGUUAGUGGAGCGUGUGUGGUUAACUGGCACACUAAAUGGUUCUAAGCAAAGGUAGCAAAGGGUGACUCAAUGUUUUUCAUAGUUCGGUGAAACGUGUGUGGUUAACCGGCACAUCGAGUAGGUGACUGUAACAUAUGGGGGCACCAUGUAGAUUUGCAUGGUUAUUCACACCCGCUUUGUGAUCCUCGGCAUCCCAGUCACAAACUAGAGGGGCACAUCGAGAUUUAAAUAUGCCGUUGAAAAGUUCAAUGAAUCUCAAAGGAUCUUGGAGUUUUCAAUACAUUUAAAACUUAAUCUGUUUUUCAUUUUUCAAGGUGGAAAUUGGUAAAUCGUCAUUUACCUACCUUCAAAUAUUCUGCAACUAGAUUACGAUAUCCCUUUUCUAGGUUGUAGUGCAUUGUGUUAGAUCCUAGCCUCGAUGUUUCAUUUGGGUGUCACAUUGAGGAUUAUAAUCAACUAACUUGAAUAUUGUUUUCUCUCGUUUUGUAGAUGUCAAAGUAUGACAACUAUGGUAUUCCCAAAUCUCGUGGAACAAGCUUUCCAUAUGAAGAUGAUAUUCCACGAUUCGAUCAAGGAACAAGAGAUCAUGCUUCANGCUUUUUUUCCAAAACUCCAAUUAUUCUCCCUAACCCACAAGUUCGAAGGCUUGAAAAGUUCAAGCUCACUCAAGCCUUUUUGGCAAGUAAACAUGAAGAAGGAAAAUCGGUGUAGAGCUGAAGUCACACAUUGAUAGGUUAAGAAUGUUGGGAUCCGUUGUCAGUGAGGAGUUGGCUGUUGAUUGGGUUCUUCAGUCACUUCCUCACUCAUAUAGGGAGUUCGUAAGAGAGUACUAUAUGAUGAGCCACGACGUAACCCUCAUUGAUCUCACCUAUAUGCUUAUUGCUGCUGAAUCAGCAAUGAUUUGGCACACUGAAAAAGCAAAGUUGAUUGGUGGAUCUGCCUUCCACACCUCUAUGGAUAUAGGCAAUGGCAACGAAAGGCAUGCCAUGAUCGAAAAGUUUGAUCAUAAGAGAAAGGCAAAGUCUGAAGUAGUUCCAUGUGCUGUUCCAAAGGAGUCAAUUUGCUUUUAUUGCCAAGAGAAGGGGCAUUGGACACGAAGCUGCCCUAUUUACCUAAGAGAUCUAAGAGAUGGGAGAGUCAAAACGUAUGGCUCUGCUUUAGGUAAAAUCCAUUAACUAACUCUUUUAAGUUCCUAUUCUAGAUUCUUAAUACAUGAUAUGAUAAGAUUACAUUUCGAUGUAUUGUAGGAUCGAAGAAAUGAGAGGAAGCUUAAGGGAAGAAGUGAGCGAAAUCUAAUCGUGAAGAUAUGGAUUUCAAUCGCAUUACUUGAAGAUUAGAUUCUUGAGCUACUACUUGGAGUAAGAUUACUAAGAAAUAUGUAUUAGGAUAGUUUUUCAAUGAAUUGCACUGUAAGGACAAAUUUUUCCACAAUAAAAUAAAUUUUGAUUUUAUAUUAUUUAUUUAUCCUUGCAAUGGCGUAUAUGAAAAAUUGAUGUUUGUAAGUUUCUAUAAUGCAUUUGAUUCUUAAUUAUGUUAUUUUUGGAAAGGUCAAGAAUUUACCAAAUAGGGAAAGUUUCUCGUCACCCAAGUUUUAAUUGGACAGAAACUUGGAAUCAUGCAACGUGUAUGAUGAAUGAAAAACUUUCACAUUUGGAAAUUAGACUAAUUCGUUGACAAAAUGUCAAGUGAAGGAAUAGGAUAUCAAGUACAUAAGGUUGUGUGUUGAUCAAGUCCACCACAAGAAUGACAAAGAUAUUUGUCAUGAUUUACUAAAGGUUUAGUGGAUAUGAUUCCGAGUUGAUUUGAAAGAGUUUAAAUCAAUAGCAGAACGAAUAAAAAGAAUCAAGUAGGCAGAAAGAUAAAAGUUUCUCUAUUCUAAGAAGAAGGGAGAGUACCUUUUAUUAUGUUUUAUGAUAGGUAUUAAUGAUUAAGAACCAUAUCUCAAUUGAUCCUCUAAGUGAGUAUUAGUACAAUUGUAUGUCUGAGAAAAGGAAUCAAGAAUUGAAGAAAUGGUUAAAUCAAUAAGUCAAUCAUACUUCGUUCCAAAACAAGUCUUAGAGUUAAGAUUGUGACAAUGAGUGACAAGUCUUAAGAAGGUUUAUAACAUUCAUCAAAUGUGGAAUUUGAAAAAGAGGUUUUCUUAUUACUGCACAUUUGGAAUUGGAAAGUUGUGAUGUCUUAGGUAAGACAAAGACCAACUAGGACCAAUUUGUGAAAUGUUUAGUCUUGAUAAAAGCUACGCUAACUUUUGAAUAUUUGUUUGUCGAGAAAUGUUUAUUGACAAGAGAAUCUUGUAUGUCAAGGAGUCAGUGGGAGUCUUAAUAGUCUUGAAAAGUUUCAAGAACUAAUCAAGAAUAAACCUUAUCAAUCAUCACUAGCACAC
rnacentral:lncRNA from 1 species